rnacentral:rRNA from 1 species
GAUUUCUGACAAAGCGGGGCGGCCCGUGCUCUUAAUGGGUGCUGUGUGCCGUGUCGUGUUUGUCAUCCUUCCAGAGAGCUACGUCUACCAUUCAUUUGGCCGGACGUACGUGAUCUGGAUCGAUUACUUUGAAAAAAUUAGAGUGUUUAAAGCAGGCUUAUGCUGUGAAUACAUUAGCAUGGAAUAAUAAUAUAGGACUUUGGUUCUAUUUUGUUGGUUUCUAGGACUGAAGUAAUGAUUGAUAGGGAUAGUUGGGGGUGCUAGUAUUCCGCGGCCAGAGGUGAAAUUCUUGGAUUCGCGGAAGACUAACUACUGCGAAAGCAUU